rnacentral:rRNA from 2 species
UCUGGUGAUAAUACCGGCGUUGUCCCACCUGAUCCCAUUCCGAACUCAGUAGUGAAAGGCGCCAAGGCCGAUGAUAGCGGUACAUCCGCAAAAGUAGGUAGUCGCCAGAA